rnacentral:tRNA from 1 species
GCUGUUGUAGCUCAGGGGUAGAGCACUUCCUUGGUAAGGAAGAGGUC